UACGUAGGGUGCGAGCGUUAAUCGGAAUUACUGGGCGUAAAGCGUGCGCAGGCGGUUGUGCAAGACAGAUGUGAAAUCCCCGGGCUUAACCUGGGAACUGCAUUUGUGACUGCACAGCUGGAGUGCGGCAGAGGGGGAUGGAAUUCCGGUGUAGCGGUGAAAUGCGUAGAUAUCGGAAGGAACAUCAGUGGCGAAAGCGACUUCCUGGACCAAUACUGACGCUCAUGUGCGAAAGCGUGGGGAGCAAACAGG
rnacentral:rRNA from 1 species